CCUAGAACUGUAAUGCGAACGUAUCCCAAUUUGAGUUAUGUCUAGUUUUGACAGAUCAACAGCGAGGUGAGUAUUUUGACGAUUCUACGAAAAUGUAAACAAACCAAAAUUCAGUAUCAAUAAAGCAAAUGAAGAUAAAGAAGAAACCAAGGAUUACGUUGCAACAAGAAAAGUGGAAGUGGAAGCCCCGCGUAGGAAGCCAGCAACGCCGACAUAUUUAUUGUGGAGUGAAUAGGUACAAAUUGAAGUAAAAAAUUACACUGCUCAACAAGACUGGCGAUCAAAUCGCUCUAUUCUGAUGGCUUAUAUCCUCAUUGUUAACCCUGUAGGAAUGAGAAGGGCCGAUUACAGCGAAGGGAUGGAUGUCGCAGAAGUCUCAAAAGCUUCGCUUUGCAACCUAUCUGACAUGCUUCAUUUGACGAGAUGGAUAUACAAGUCGAGAGUUGUUAUAAAGUUGAGGAAUCUCUUUACUUGGUGGUCAUUCAUAGCCAAGCCAAAUACAAAUACAAGUUGAAUUAAUUGCAGCGUGUGAUAGCAGUAGCACAUUCACGUAAUGUGCCACCAUCUUUGCAAUGCAAAGCACUUCUUUCAGCCAGCUACGGAUAGUCGAAAGAUCGCAAUGAAUGCAAGUCCUUCCUCAUCAUGUGAACAAUAGUUAAUUUAAUCUACAGUCAGUUUUUCAAGACAGUACCUACAACCGAGGAUUGGCCAAUUGAUCUGUUUCACUAUGUUCUUUUUUGCAGAAAUUCACAUUUGAAUAUCUUCCUUUUACAUUUUUUGGCGAACUCUGUGAUGUAGUUGGUGAGGAUGUGUUUAUAAAUAAUAAAAUAAGAACUAUCUUAAUUUUCGCUUUUUCUAAUUUAAAUUGUAGGUCUCUGGAAUUCAAUUGAAAUACCUUCUUUCAAUU